GGAGGGGUGCCCGAGUGGCCAAAGGGAGCAGACUGUAAAUCUGCCGGCUUAUGCCUUCGGUGGUUCGAAUCCACCCCCCUCCA
rnacentral:tRNA from 1 species